GAUGAACGCUGGCGGCGUGCCUAAUACAUGCAAGUCGAGCGAACAGACGAGGAGCUUGCUCCUCUGACGUUAGCGGCGGACGGGUGAGUAACACGUGGAUAACCUACCUAUAAGACUGGGAUAACUUCGGGAAACCGGAGCUAAUACCGGAUAAUAUAUUGAACCGCAUGGUUCAAUAGUGAAAGACGGUUUUGCUGUCACGUAUAGAUGGAUCCGCGCCGCAUUAGCUAGUUGGUAAGGUAACGGCUUACCAAGGCAACGAUGCGUAGCCGACCUGAGAGGGUGAUCGGCCGCACUGGAACUGAGCCACGGUCCAGACUCCUACGGGAGGCAGCAGUAGGGAAUCUUCCGCAGUGGGCGGAAGCCUGACGGAGCAACGCCGCGUGAGUGAUGAAGGUCUUCGGAUCGUAAAACUCUGUUAUUAGGGAAGAACAAAUGUGUAAGUAACUAUGCACGUCUUGACGGUACCUAAUCAGAAAGCCACGGCUAACUACGUG
rnacentral:rRNA from 1 species